CCCUUAGAUGUUCUGGGCCGCACGCGCGCUACACUGAUGCAUUCAACAAACCUAGCCUUGACCGAGAGGUCCGGGUAAUCUUUGAAACUGCAUCGUGAUGGGGCUAGAUUAUUGCAAUUAUUAAUCUUCAACGAGGAAUGCCUAGUAAGCGUGAUUCAUCAAAUCGCGUUGAUUACGUCCCUGCCCUUUGUACACACCGCCCGUCGCUCCUACCGAUUGAAUGUGUUGGUGAGGAGCUCGGAUUGGCAGCAGUUGGUGGUUCGCCACCGGCUAUUGCUGAGAAGUCCUCCAAACCGCCCCAUUUAGAGGAAGGAGAAGUCGUAACA
rnacentral:rRNA from 1 species